GAGAAGUUUAAUUGACUCACCGUUCAGCAGGGCUGGGGAGGCCUCAGGGAACUUACCAUCAUGGCAGAAGGUGAAGGGGAAGCGAGGCACCUUCUUCACAAUGCAGCAGGAAGGAAAAUGAACUCAGAAGGAACUACCAAACACUUAAAAAACUAUCAGAUAUCCUGAGAACUCACUCAUUACCAUGACAACAGCAUGGGGGGAAACUGCCGUCAUGAUUCAGUUACUUCCACCUGGUUUCUCCCAUGAUAUGUGGGCAUUAUGGGGAUUACAACUUAAGGUUUCUGGCAUUCUUCAAAGUUGUGAAACAAGACAUAUUAUCUGUGUGGAGCUCCUACAUAGUGGAAAGUUGGACAAAAAUGUAGAGAAGUAAAUAAAUAAAUGGCUAUGAAAGUAGACGAUUGUUAUAUCUUAAACAUAAAAUAAAUUUGGGACCUAUAAUAGAGAGUAUUCAUAGCCUGACUAGGAGGGUAUGGUCAGAAAAGACUUUUCAAGAGUGACUUCUUCAGUAAGACCUAGAUAACAAGUCAACCAUGCAAAUCUCUGAGGAAAGAGCAUUCUACCAAGAAGCAGAAACUAGUGCCACAAUCCUGAAGCAGAAAAAGCACUGCAACUUUAAAUACAGUUGUCCCUUCUCAUCUGUGGUUUCACUUACUGUAAUUUUAGUUACUUGUGAUCAACUGCAGUCUGAAAGUAUUAAAUGGAAGAUCCCAGAAAUAAACAAUUUGUAAAUUCAAAAUUGCACACCAUUCUGAGUAACAUAAUAAAACCAUGUCACCCAG
rnacentral:lncRNA from 1 species